rnacentral:rRNA from 1 species
CCUACGGGUGGCAGCAGUGAGGAAUAUUGGUCAAUGGCCGGAAGGCUGAACCAGCCAAGCCGCGUGAGGGAGGAAGGCGCUGAGCGUCGCAGACCUCUUUUGCCGGGGGACAAAAGGCCGGACUCGUCCGGUCCUGAGGGUACCCUGAGUAAAAGCAUCGGCUAACUCGGUGCCAGCAGCCGCGGUAAUUGGAAGGAUGCGGGCGUUAUCCGGAUUCAUUGGGUUUAAAGGGUGGGCAGAGGGGCCGUUAAGCCGUCGGUGAAAUCGCGGGGCUAAACCACGCCGAGCCGUUGGAACUGGGGGCCUUGAGUGCGGCGGAGGCAUGCGGAAUGCGCGGUGUAGCGGUGAAAUGCAUAGAUAUCGCGAAGAACCCCGAUUGCGAAGGCAGCGUGCCGUGCCGCCACUGACGCUGAGGCACGAAAGCGCGGGGAUCGAACAGGAUUAGAUACCCCAGUAGUC